rnacentral:rRNA from 1 species
UGGGGAAUAUUGCACAAUGGGCGAAAGCCUGAUGCAGCGACGCCGCGUGAGGGAUGACGGCCUUCGGGUUGUAAACCUCUUUCAGCAGGGAAGAAGCGCAAGUGACGGUACCUGCAGAAGAAGCACCGGCUAACUACGUGCCAGCAGCCGCGGUAAUACGUAGGGUGCGAGCGUUGUCCGGAAUUAUUGGGCGUAAAGAGCUCGUAGGCGGCUUGUCGCGUCGGAUGUGAAAGCCCGGGGCUUAACYCCGGGUCUGCAUUCGAUACGGGCAGGCUAGAGUUCGGUAGGGGAGAUCGGAAUUCCUGGUGUAGCGGUGAAAUGCGCAGAUAUCAGGAGGAACACCGGUGGCGAAGGCGGAUCUCUGGGCCGAUACUGACGCUGAGGAGCGAAAGCGUGGGGAGCGAACAGGAUUAGAUACCCUGGUAGUCCACGCCGUAAACGUUGGGAACUAGGUGUGGGCGACAUUCCACGUUGUCCGUGCCGCAGCUAACGCAUUAAGUUCCCCGCCUGGGGAG